rnacentral:rRNA from 1 species
GGGUUGUGAGGUUAAGCGACUAAGCGUACACGGUGGAUGCCCUGGCAGUCAGAGGCGAUGAAGGGCGUGCUAAUCUGCGAUAAGCGCCGGUAAGGUGAUAUGAACCGUUAUAACCGGCGAUACCCGAAUGGGGAAACCCAGUGUGAUUCGUCACACUAUCAUUAACUGAAUCCAUAGGUUAAUGAGGCGAACCGGGGGAACUGAAACAUCUAAGUACCCCGAGGAAAAGAAAUCAACCGAGAUUCCCCCAGUAGCGGCGAGCGAACGGGGAGGAGCCCAGAGCCUGAAUCAGCAUGUGUGUUAGUGGAAGCGUCUGGAAAGGCGCGCGAUACAGGGUGACAGCCCCGUACACAAAAGCGCAUGUGCUGUGAGCUCGAUGAGUAGGGCGGGACACGUGGUAUCCUGUCUGAAUAUGGGGGGACCAUCCUCCAAG